rnacentral:sRNA from 1 species
ACACACCCCAGAAGCUUGGCGCCCUGCCCUUGGAGAAGGGUCUCGACAGCUGAGCUGGGGCUUCAGGGGAGAGACGAGCAGCUUCUCAUCUUCCAGCAAUGGGAAAUAGAGGAGCAGAGUCCUGGCAGUUGUCAUAGGCACAAAGAGCACCUUGGCAGGACAUUUGAGUACCUGGAUGUAAGAGGGGCACCUGGGUAGUGCACCUUCUGGUCUCGUUUAGCCUGAGCUGGCACUAUGCCUACCUAGAUGGGAAAGCCAGGAUUCACCAUCUUGGACCCACCCCAGACAUGGUCCUGAGCUGGCAGAGAAGCUGAGGGGGGUAGUCUGAGGGUCUGGCCAAGUCCAGCCCAGAGGCCAAGCAGCUCUCAUCCACUCCACAAGAGUUUUGUUCAAAAUCAGAUUUCAGUCUAUGGGCCACAAAGGGGGUCUUCUGCUGCCAAAGUUAAUGGAGGAACCGAUACCAAAAAUAUCCCAGGCACUUGCUGGCAGAUGGAUGGGCAUCUUUUAAACAGGCGAUAAAUUUCUUCAACCCAGGUAAUGACACAUCCUGAAAAGCAAAUGCUUUUGUGGAGAAGUUCAUAGCCACUUAGGAUAUGAGAAUUUACCAAUCCUCCUAUGCAAAGUGAGGACCGUGGGCAAACAGCAUCUCCAUAACUUGGGCGAUUUAGAAAUGCAGCAACCCAGACCCCACCCCAGAUCAGAUCUACUGUAUGGCAAGAUGGUCAUAAUUAGCAUUUAAAGUGUGGGAAGCAUUACUACAAGUGAGUGUCAUCUUCGUGCAUUUUGAAAGAACUUCACUUUUUUUUUUUCAGAAAGAAAAAGAAAGAUAGUGAGGAGAAAGGGAGGGAACAGGAGAGAGGACAUAGAUUGCCCUGGGGUGCCCUGUAUUCUUGGUUUUUGACUAGUCCUUGGACUUCUAAUGCUGCGCUUUUCCUUCAGUUCACACCAGUUAAAAAUAGAAAACUGGGCACCGGCAUCUCUGUCCAGAGUGGGCUUGGAUUGAUAUGCUGAGGAGGACUGCUGAUUAGAUAUUUCUAGGGUCGGGCAAUGCCGGGCCCUCCUCUCAGAGCUUCCCAACCAUGUUUGGGGAUGGUCUGGGGAUGAAACUGCUGGGCAGCUGAGCCAUGGAGACAGGGGAGAGGCCUGUCUGGCUGAGACCAAGCCCUGCCAUACCUUCUGCAGGUUACAGUGAGAAUGCCCAUUGGCAGGAAGCAAAGAGCAGUGAAUGGUGCAGACACAGAGAAAGGGAGAAUCAGAGUGACUGAUGGGCUUCAAAUCCCGCCUCUAUGACUUAGCUAAGUACUGCGCGUUUGGUCUCGGGCAGGCCAGUUAACUCGUCAAGACCUCAUUCCAACCCCUGAAGAGUGGCACAGUAACUCAGUUCUAGGGUGUUACUGAGGACUGGCCCACAAAGAGACAAGUCGUGUAAGUCAGCAAGACAAACUGAACCUGAUCUAUUAUCAUCCGAUAAUGAUUCUUUUAAAGGAGUGACUGCGCCCUGACGUUUAAGAGAGUCCUGGUCCUUGGAAUCUGGGAUUCUACCUGAAGUCACAAGGAUGAACAAAUGGUAGAGGCCUAGAGAGAGGCGCCUGAGUGAGCCUGCUUCCUAACCAACUUCUCAGAAUUGUCUGCCGCUGGGCUGCCUAAUAGAAGCUCAAGUUCUGGGAUUCCACCCUUGAAGAGAAAUGAAUCUGCACUUCGUGAGCCCUCACCCCGUAGGCCAGCUGCUGGGCUGAGGAAAGACAAGCGGCCUCCAGAGGGUUGUUAGCAAGAAUGUCCACUUGUUCUUCAAAGGGAGAUGCACAACGCCAGGAAUUUGCAUUAAAAGCAUUUCUUGCUCCUGCCAUUAGCAUCCAAAUCAUCUUUAGCUAACAGCUGAAACCAAAAAAUGAAGAAGCUGGAGCAGCAUCUGCCCCGGGAUUAUACUAUCCAUAGCUCCUUUAUAUAGAUUCUAGAUCAGCUGCUAAACUCUUUCAAAAUGGCACUCUGAAAACAAUGAUCUACUAUUACAGACAAAACUUAGCUAGACCUGCAUAUUCCCAAAGGCUUUGUCUUUCUCUUCAGAGGGGUCAGAAAGCUGCUACUUUUUAGGGAAAGAAACUUCUUAUAGCUAUUUAGUGAUCAGUAUUUCUUGAUCAGUAAACCCUUGGUUAAGAAUGUAAGCAACAUUUAUUUUAUUUUUUCUCCUUUUUGAAUUGUAUCCAUUCUUUGUAUGAGUAUUCCAUUUUGUUUGUCUGUUUGUUUCAAGACAUGUAGCUCUUGCUAUCCUAAAACUCACGUGUACAUCAGACUGGCCUGAACACACUGAGAUCUGCUUAGUUUUGUCUCCUCAGUGAUGAGAUCAAAGGCAUGAGGAUACCUAGGAUCCAAGACUUUUACUCCUACAUUAUGGCUUCUGGUUUUCUGUUUUCAUGGGAUUCCUAAUUGUGCAAGCAAAGUGGGUCUCUGUGUCUUCAUCUGUUUCUUUUGCCUUUUAUUUGACUCAUUUUCUUUCAUUGGAUUGUUUUGUCCUUUUCCAAUGUGUUAGUUUUUGUUUUAUCUUGUAUUUUAUUAUUAUUCUUCAAAUGCCCUCUGUUUUCUAAUGAGAAAUGGAAAAGCUGUGAAUCCUCAUGAGAGGGGAAGGAAGGUACAGAGGAACUGGGAGGAGUAAAAAGAGGAGAGACCAUAAUUAGGAUAUAGUGUAUGAAAAAAAUAAAGGCUAUUUUCAACAAAACAACAACAAAAUAUAGAAUGCAAAUAACCAGCCUACCUUAUCUUCCCAGCGUUUGCUUGAUUGUUAAAAGGAAGACUGAUUUUGAACUUAAGAUUCUCUCUGCCUAGGCUUCAUGAGUGUUCUUAGUGUAGGAUUGUCUCACUAUGAAUGUGAGACAUAAUGUCUCACUCAUCCACUAACUGCAGAAAUUAAAACAAUAGAGGCUUGGUCCAAAGCCAAUGAUCUAUGUCCAUUUAAGGAAAGAAACAGAGACGGUAUGUUCAAACUAAAAGUAACCAAACAUCCAUCGCUACCAUCACUUAUGCACAAAUGCUAACCCCAGUACAAAAAGGAAAGAGCUCUGGGGCUUAAGAGAUGAACCACCCUUUAAUGGCAAAAGAAAGAAUCAGCAAUUAAACCAUGAUGAUGUGGCAUUAGAAAAAUAAUCACAACAACUUUAAAAUUUACCCAAAGAAUGAAUCCUUUAGGUAAAAUAUUGCAUCAUUAAAGAAAAUAUUGCAUAAUUAAAGAAUGAUUGAUUGCAUGCACAUUGGACUCAUCUCUCCACCAAUGGUCACUCUAUCUAUCUAUCUAUCUAUCUAUCUAUCUAUCUAUCUAUCUAAUGACAAGAGGAUUCAUAGCAGUAAUUCUAAGUGUGCAAAGGGAGGAGCCUUGAGGCCAAUACCCCAGACUGACCUAAAACCUCAUGCCUAGUGUCCCUAUAGGGAUCUCAUCUUAAAGCUGCUAGCCCAAUAUGAUGGGGAUGAGGAAGAUACUGGGGUAGGAUAGAAGAUAUUGUGACAGAAAACUAUAAACCAGAAAGGAAGGAAAGAAGGAAGAAAAAAGCCAGAGAGCAGAAGUGCAUGCCUGUGAUCCCAGCACUUGGAAAUCUAAGGCAGGAAGAUCAAGAAUUUGGCCUAAUAUGGAUUCCAUAGGGAGAGCUGGUUUCUAAAUCGAAUGCAACAAACUUUUUAAAACUAAGCAUUUUGCAUUUAAAGCAUUGAUAGGUAUUAGCCAAAGAGCUACCCUUUGCUUUUGUUUGGUAGAGAGGAAUCUUAGGUAAACUGUGCUCAUAACUAACCUAUGAGGCAGAAGGUCAUAUACCAUACAAUAGAUCUGUUCGGAUACUUUCUAGAAAUAUCCAAAUCAAAGACCUAACUUUUAAAUUCUAAAACACUGUCCUAUGGAUUACAUAGUCUGUUGAUCUAUCUGUAAAUUAACCCUUAUUCUGACUAAAUGUAAAAAGUUGACCUUAUAUCUGCCUGUUUCCUCUCAUGAGACAUACACACAUGAACCUGAGAGGCUCAGUGGUGGUGAAAGCUUUAUUGGUUCUGCUUCCUGUAUUCAACCAUGCUGUCACAAGGAAAAUGAAAAGUUAAAAAAAAAAAAAUUAAGACCGGCCUUGAAUGAACAGAUGUUGUUUCUUUCCAGAGAUGAUUAUGUAUGUGUGGGAGGUCAGAAUAAUAUUUCACAAUCACCAGCUUGGGUCUGAAUCUAAUAACUUCAUGUGGCAUGCUAGGGAAACAAAAUACCCUAUCUUCAGAACAUGUGCUAAUUCCAGUAAAGUAUUUUUUACCUUCCUGGCCACUCUGAAUAUUAUUUAAAUUCCUAGCAUCGACUAUGAAGAUGUCUAAACCUCAGUGGCUAGCUGGUUUUAAACAAAUGUCUUUGUGGGUCGCCCUGGUGCUGUUUUUAUUUUGAUGCUAAUUCCGCUUCCCCAAGAAGGGCUGCGUGGGAUGAGGAGGGAACCAGUACUCAGGUGACUUCACUGGAACCUUCUCCUGAUUUUAACUUGUAAAAUAAAGGCUAGAGCCCAUGAUUUGGCAGGGGAAGGAAGGUGGAGCUGAAGAGUUGUGGGGAGACAGAGGAAGGGGGGGAGAGGAAGAAGAGGUGGAAGGAAGAUGGAGAUGAAGCACAUGGCCUGCAGAAACCGCAAAUUAUAAGGGCUCUCAUAGCUGGGGAUAAAGUCGUGUAGCAGUAGAUCUGCCCAAUCUAGGCACGCAGCUUGUAUUCAUAUUAUUUGAGUUGUGUUUUCAUUAAACGGGCUUGUCUGGAUUGGAGAAAUUA